AUUGAACGCUGGCGGCGUGCUUAACACUUGCAAGUCGAACGAGAACGGAAUAUAGCUUGCCAUAUUUGUCAGCUAAGUGGCGCACGGGUGAGUAAUGUAUAGAUAACCUGCCCUUAAGAAAGGAAUAACAGUUGGAAACGACUGCUAACGCCCUAUAUGCCUUUAAUACAUAAGUAUGCAAGGGAAACGCUUUAGAGCUUAAGGAUGGGUCUGUAUGGUAUCAGCUUGUUGGUGAGGUAAUGGCUCACCAAGGCUAUGACGCCUAACUGGUUUGAGAGGAUGAUCAGUCACACUGGAACUGAGACACGGUCCAGACUCCUACGGGAGGCAGCAGUGGGGAAUAUUGCACAAUGGACGAAAGUCUGAUGCAGCAACGCCGCGUGGAGGAUGACACAUUUCGGUGCGUAAACUCCUUUUAUAUAGGAAGAUAAUGACGGUACUAUAUGAAUAAGCACCGGCUAACUCCGUGCCAGCAGCCGCGGUAA
rnacentral:rRNA from 1 species